rnacentral:rRNA from 1 species
GGAAUUGUUCGCAAUGGGCGCAAGCCUGACGACGCAACGCCGCGUGGAGGAUGAAGAUCUUCGGGUCGUAAACUCCUUUCGAUCGGAAAGAACACCCGCAGGGUGAAUAAUCCUGCGGGCUGACGGUACCGAGAGAAGAAGCCCCGGCUAACUCCGUGCCAGCAGCCGCGGUAAUACGGGGGGGGGCAAGCGUUGUUCGGAAUUACUGGGCGUAAAGGGCUCGUAGGCGGCCAACUAAGUCAGACGUGAAAUCCCUCGGCUCAACCGGGGAACUGCGUCUGAUACUGGAUGGCUUGAAUCCGGGAGAGGGAUGCGGAAUUCCAGGUGUAGCGGUGAAAUGCGUAGAUAUCUGGAGGAACACCGGUGGCGAAGGCGGCAUCCUGGACCGGCAUUGACGCUGAGGAGCGAAAGCCAGGGGAGCAAAC